UGGGGAAUAUUGGACAAUGGGCGAAAGCCUGAUCCAGCCAUGCCGCGUGUGUGAAGAAGGCCCUCGGGUUGUAAAGCACUUUCAGCGAGGAAGAACGCCUAGGGGUUAAUACCCCCUAGGAAAGACAUCACUCGCAGAAGAAGCACCGGCUAACUCCGUGCCAGCAGCCGCGGUAAUACGGAGGGUGCAAGCGUUAAUCGAGAAUUACUGGGCGUAAAGCGCGCGUAGGUGGCUUGAUAAGCCGGUUGUGAAAGCCCCGGGCUCAACCCGGGAACGGCAUCCGGAACUGUCAAGCUAGAGUGCAGGAGAGGAAGGUAGAAUUCCCGGUGUAGCGGUGAAAUGCGUAGAGAUCGGGGAGGAAUACCAGUGGAGAAGGCGGCCUUCUGGACUGACACUGACACUGAGGUGCGAAAGCGUGGUAGCAAACA
rnacentral:rRNA from 1 species